rnacentral:rRNA from 1 species
UUGAUGGCUCGGUGAGGCCUUCGGACUGGCCCAGGGAGGUCGGCAACGACCACCCAGGGCCGGAAAGUUGGUCAAACCCGGUCAUUUAGAGGAAGUAAAAGUCGUAACAAGGUCUCCGUAGGUGAACCUGCGGAGGGAUCAUU